rnacentral:lncRNA from 1 species
ACCAGAGGCUCUGGCUGGAACACCCCUGAGCUUGCUCUGGACAAUGCCCAGCCAGGCUCGGACAUGGGCUUGCCUCUCACCCCAACACAAUGGCCUUUUCUUAGUUCCUCAAUUGUUCCAAGUCCUUCCCUCUACCUGAGACAAUUCCCCUCUCCCUCCCGCACUUCCACCUCCAACUCCUCUCAACCUGAAGAUGACCCAGUUAAGAAUGGCCUUGCUGGCCAGGCGCAGUGGCUCACAGCUGUAAUCCCAACACUUGGGGAGGCCGAGGCAGGUGGAUCACUUGAGGUCAGGAGUUGGAGACCAGCCUGGCCAACAUGAUGAAACCCCAUCUCUACUAAAAAUACAAAAAUUAGCUGGGUGUGGUGGUGAGUGCCUGUAAUCCCAGCUACUCGGGAGGCUGAGGCAGGAAAAUCACUUGAACCUGGGAGGCAGAGGUUGCAGUGAGCCAAGAUCGCACCACUGCACUCCAGCUUGGAUGACAAGAGUGAGACUCCAUCUCAAAAACAAAACAAAACAAACAAAAAAACAAAUGGCCUUGCCUAUAUUAAGGUCCUCCUUUGUUCAGCUCCUUUAUUGGCUUCACAGCUCUAAUCCCAGUCUAAAAUUAUUUCGCUUAUGUUGACUCCAUUUACUUUAUGUUUAGUAUUUGUCUCCUCCAUAAACUAUAAACUCUUUGAGGACAGCCUCAAUUGUCCUGUUUGUUCUUUAUCUUCUAGUGUGUACCGGUCAGUAAAUAUCGGUCAAAUUAAAGGAUAAAAUAUGGGAAAGAUAAGAAUGAGUCCAGUCAAGGAAACCUGUCUGAUUUUCAAGAAGAAGAAAAGUUUAGAUUUUAUAAGAAAAGUAAUACACAGAUAAGCAAAAGAAUGAUAGAUUUUGGGGAGUAUGAAUGGAAAGAGGAUGUUAACAGUAUGCCGAAUGUAUUGUGGAGAGGAAAAUUACUAUAAGUGGGAGGCAGUUAGAAGGUUAUUACAGCAUCCAAGUAAAUUGAUAAAAGCCUGAACAAGGGUGGUAGAGUAGAAAUGGAGUGGAAGGGGAAAAGCUGAGAUUAUAAAGAAGAGUGCCCAUGAAAUUUUUGUUUUUAGCUUUCACUUUUAUUUUGAAAUAAUUUUUUCAGAUCUUUUGAAACUUAGAGAAAAGUUGCAAAAUAUCAUGAGCUUGUGUAUAGCCUUCAUCUAGAUUCACCAACUCUUAGAGUACUGCUCAUUUGCCCAUGAAAUUUUUGUUUUUAGCUUUCACUUUUAUUUUGAAAUAAUUUUUUCAGAUCUUUUAUUUUGAAACUUGGAGAAAAGUUGCAGAAAAUCAUGAGCUUGGGUAUAGCCUUCACCUAGAUUCACCAACUCUUAGAGUACUGCUCAUUUGCUUUAUUCCCUUGCUCUUUCCUCUGUACAUGCAUGUACAUUCUUACGUGUUCUUUUUUUAUGAAUCAUUUGGGAAUAAGUUAUAGACAUCAUGCCCCUUUAUUCCCAAAUACCUCAGUGUGUAUUUCCUAAUAACAAAGACACUUUCACAUAGACAGAAUACACUUACCAAAGUCAGGGAUUUAAUGUUGAUACAAUGCUUUAUCCAGGAUUCUAUAAUAGUUCAGGGUCCAAUUGAGGAUUAUGCAUUACAAUGAGUUAUAAUGUCUCUUUAGAUUCCAUUCAUCUGGAAUAGUUCCUUGUUUUUUUAAUUUUAUGCCAUCAAUAUUUUUGAAAUGUACUGGACAAUUAAGUUGUAGAAUGUUCCUCCGUUUGGGUUUGCUCAUGUUACCUCAUAAUUAGACUCAAACUCUGCAUUUUUGGUGGGAGUACUACAUUAGCAUUCUUGUGUCCUCCUCAGCACUGAAAAAGAGGCACAUGACAUCACUUUGUCACAUUAUUGGAGGUAUGAACUUUGAUCAUUUGGUUAAGGUGGCAUCUGCUAAGUUUCUCCACUGUAAGAUUGCUAUUUUUAUUUUGUAAUUAUUGAAUUAAUUUAUGCAAAGAUUAUGAGCCUAUAUGAAUAUUUUAUCUUCAUCAAACUUUUACCCAAUAGUUUUAGCAAACAUUGGGGAUUCUUGCCUGAAUCAGUUAUUGCCAUGACAGCUGCAAAAUGGUGAUUUUGUAACUCUAUUAUUUCUUCUACAUUUGUCAAUUGGUAUUUCACUGUAAAGAAAAGUGUUUGCUUUUUCCAUUGUAUUUAUAGCCCAUGGACUGUUUUUUGAUUACAUGGAUUAUAAUCCAUUACUGUCAUUAUUCAUUUUAAUGACCAAAUUACCCCAGUUUGUUCAGUGGGAGGCACUACAAAUGCCUCUUUCUUUUAGGAUUUAGAAAAAACUCUUUCAUUUUAGUGUGGUGUCUUGCUGUGUUGCCCAGGCUGGU